GGACGAACGCUGGCGGCGUACUUAACGCAUGCAAGUCGAACGAGGAUCGCUACGUGAGCAAUCAUGCGGCGGUUCUAGUGGCGUACGGGUGAGUAACACGUGGGCAACCUGCCCUGGAGCCUGGGAUACCCUCCCGAAAGGGAGGCUAAUACCGGAUACGUUCCCCGGGUCGCGAGAUCUGGGGAGGAAAGGUGGCGCAAGCUGCCGCUCUUGGAGGGGCUCGCGGCCUAUCAGCUAGUUGGUGA
rnacentral:rRNA from 1 species